rnacentral:rRNA from 1 species
CUAGAAUAAAAGUUGUUAUGUUCUUCAUAACUCAAAGAAUUUGGCGGUUAAAAAAAUUUUUAGAGGAACCUGUGAUGUAAUCGAUGAACCACGAUAGUUUUUACCAUUUAAUUAUUUGUAUACCUCUAUGGUUAUAGGAAUGUUUUAAAAGAAAAAAUUUUCUUUUAAAGUUAUAAGUAUUUUAGGUCAAGGUGCAGUUUUUGUAGGGGAUUUAUGGGUUAUUUUAUUUUUUAUUAGUUAUAUUAUAUUUAAAAAUUUUUAGGAUUUGAAAGUAAAAUAAAUUAAUUUAUUUAUUUGAAUUUU